ACCUGUCUGGCUCAAUUGAUUGAGCAUGUGACUCUUGAUCUCAGGGUUGUGAGUUCAAGCCCCACAUUGGGUG
rnacentral:tRNA from 1 species